rnacentral:rRNA from 1 species
GAUGAACGCUAGCUACAGGCUUAACACAUGCAAGUCGAGGGGUAACAGGAGGAAAGCUUGCUUUUCUUGCUGACGACCGGCGCACGGGUGAGUAACGCGUAUCCAACCUUCCCCUUAGUAGAGGAUAGCCCGGCGAAAGUCGGAUUAAUUCCCUAUGUUGUUUGAUGCUGACAUCAAGAUCAAACCAAAGAUUCAUCGCUAAGGGAUGGGGAUGCGUCUGAUUAGAUAGUAGGCGGGGUAACGGCCCACCUAGUCAACGAUCAGUAGGGGUUCUGAGAGGAAGGUCCCCCACAUUGGAACUGAGACACGGUCCAAACUCC